rnacentral:rRNA from 1 species
CAGCAGCCGCGGUAAUACGGAGGGGGCUAGCGUUGUUCGGAAUUACUGGGCGUAAAGCGCACGUAGGCGGCUUGGUAAGUUAGAGGUGAAAGCCCGGAGCUCAACUCCGGAAUUGCCUUUAAGACUGCCGAGCUAGCAGGUGAGAGAGGUAAGUGGAAUUCCGAGUGUAGAGGUGAAAUUCGUAGAUAUUCGGAAGAACACCAGUGGCGAAGGCGGCUUACUGGCUCAUACUGGACGCUGAGGCACGAAAGCGUGGGGAGCAAACAGGAUUAGAUACCCGCGUAGUCCCUGUCUCUUAUAC